GGUUGUUCCGUAGGUGCUUCUCUAGUAGUUUUUGUCUAUGCGGUCAGGAAAGGUGCAGCAGCGGAGGGAAUGAAAAUGCGAGAUUGUGUAUAACGUGGUCAUGAUCCAACAACUCUUGUUGUUAUGAAAAAGGAGAGCGAAGGGGCACCUCGAGCAAUCAUAGAGGGCCAAUCUUCUGUAUAAAAUGGAACAAAGAGUGUAACAAUCUUCUUACUGGAAGUUCCGAUGGAACUGCUAUCGUGUGGCGGGGGCGGCGAAUGAAUACCUUGAGACAGGCUCAAAAACUUGAAUUUCACUCUGAUCGAGUCUUGGAUGUUGAUUGGCGGCAUUGCGACACAUUUGCAACGAGCUCAGCUGACACCAAAAUCAAAGUUUGCAAGGUUGGAUAGAAUCAUCCCGUUAAAACCUUUUUGGGGCAUAAGGUGCUGCAAUAGAAGUUUGGGCUGGCUCCCUGCAUCAGGAUUAACUACGUAACAAGUUCAGAAAAUUGGUACGUUAAAUCAAUCAUGAUUCAGCUCCGCUACUCCGAGAUUUUCUUCAAGUCCUACGCGAUAUUAGUUCAUCUCAUUUAAAUGUAUGUCUAUCAUUGAUCUCCCGCAGAGAGUAUAAUAAGUUGUAUAUGUAAUCCAUAUUGGAAGAGAGAAUAUUGUUAGGAUUUGUUGUUGGAUUCAAUGG